CUCAGAUCAUGACCUGAGCCAAAAUCAAGAAUUGGACAUUUAACUGACUGGGCCACCCAGGCUCCUCUCCUCUGUGUUUGAUACAUAUUUUAAAGCAGCUAAUUCUAGAAAAUUUGUAAUACAUUAUCUUCUUGGAGGUGUGAGAGGGCCUCAAGAGUGGUUUAGUAAAGCAUGAAGAAAGGAAAGGAAAAAGCUGAAGAGUGUGGGAGAUUAUUCCUGUCUUGAACUGAACAGCUCUACCACUCCUCAAACUAAGGAAGAGGUUUGGACUGGUACAGGAACGACGGGCAAUAGAGUGUCGAUGAAAUAUUUCUGGAAAUAUCCGCACUGGGGACAAAUCUGCAAUACACAGGGCCUACACUGGAGCCUGGUAUGGAGUAAAUGAUC